GGGGGUGUACUUCAGGGGUAGAGCACUUGCCUAGCAUGUGUGAGGCCCUGGGUUCAAUCCUCAGCACCGCCA
rnacentral:tRNA from 1 species